UCCCCGGAUGCCUCGCAUAUGUCGCCCGCUGUGGCGCUGUCUCCAUGGCGACGGUCGUUUCCUCGGUUACGCCUGUCACCGUUGCCAUGGAAUCCCUGUUUCCACAGUAACCCUCCCGGUGGCUUGGAGGCUGAAGACGGCGGUCUCGGAAAGGAUCCUCGUGCAGAAACAAAAAAACAAAACUACCACGCGUGCACGCGUGAAAUGCAGGCGCCAUGCUGCACGCAAAGCCGCGCUGUUGUCGCGCCAAAAGGCUUCGACUGUGGCGCGGUAACCAAUGAGACGGAGAGGAGUCUGAAACACAUCCUCAAAGCCCCCCCCCCUCCCCCUCCCCAAGAGCGAAACCAGGCACAGCGGGAGGGAGACGCGGAGAACGGACGAGCCGGAGGAGAGGAAUUAUGAAUGGGCCGGGAGUACACGGGGCCUGGCUGUCGUGGCUGCGCUACCCUGAGUGUCCAGCAGAGGACACUGUUCCCCCGCCGGCCAAACUGGUGUAUGCUGGUAAAUUGAUUAGCUCAGAUUUCCCAGAGGCCCCGGGGACAGGCAAACAGACUGCCUCACAUGGGUCCGAUACUCUCAUCCGUCCAAGCCAUGGGAUUUAAAAAGCAGAGGUGACUCUACUGUGACGUGACUCGAUCUGGAUUACUCGGGUUUCUCCCCACACUUCCUGCCCAGCUGUGUUCCCCCGUCCGCCGUAUCUCCCAGUAAGCGAGGCCUCGGCCUGCUCGCGGUUCCUCGCCUCCAGGGAGCCGCCAUGUCGACCGGCCCUCCAAGAAAACACAACCUCGAGGAAGAAGAGAGAGAGAGAAUAUGAUCCACAUACAGUUUGUCCUGCAGCUGCAGCUUUAUGACUGUCUCUGUUCUGGAACGAACACACCAUCAGCUGC